rnacentral:rRNA from 1 species
AUUGAACGCUGGCGGCAGGCCUAACACAUGCAAGUCGAACGAGUGGCGGACGGGUGAGUAAUGUCUGGGACACUGCCUGAUGGAGGGGGAUAACUGCUGGAAACGGUAGCUAAUACCGCAUACCAUCGGAUGUGCCCAUAUGGGAUUAGCUAGGAGGUGGGGUAACGGCUCACCUAGGCGACGAUCCCUAGCUGGGCUGAGAGGAUGACCAGCCACACUGGAACUGAGACACGGUCCAGACUCCUACGGGAGGCAGCAGUGGGGAAUAUUGCACAAUGGGUGCAAGCCUGAUGCAGCCAGGCCGCGUGUAUGAAGAAGGCCUUCGGGUUGUAAAGUACUUUCAGCGGGGAGGCGUUACCCGCAGAAGAAGCACCGGCUAACUCCGUGCCAGCAGCCGCGGUAAUAC